rnacentral:lncRNA from 1 species
GAUGAUCUGUCACUAUCUCCCAUCACCCACAGAUGGAACCAUCUAGUUGCAGGAAAACAAGCUCAGAACUCCCACUGAUUCUACAUUAUGAGAAUUAACAGGACCAUCCUUUCUGGAGCUGCUCAAGAUCGGCUGAAGGAAGCAAAGCUACAUUUCUUGGCGUUGAUGGGUGAAUGUGAAAAUUGUACGUCUCUGAUGGCUGCUAAAUCUCUUGCCUUUCUAAAUGACAAGGGUUUUCUGGUUCCUAUGAACAGAAGCAGAAUUUUUUCACAACAGAAAGUGAAGCAACGAAGUUUUGAGGGUUGCUCCUCAUUUAAUGAUGUGGGAUCUUGUUAUGUUACCCAGGCUGGAGAGCAGUGGCUAUUCACAGGUGUGAUAGACACACUAUGACCUGGAACUCCUGGCCUCAAGUGACCCUCCUGCCUUAGCCUCUCAAGCAGCUGGGACUAUAGGCUCCUGACACCAUAUCCAGCUGAACCUGAUUUUAUAUUCCAGUGGCUGACAAACUAACUCCUCCGAACUACAGAUUCUACCCACCUAAUUUUUGCCAGUUUGUAUGCAAAAGAACAACUUAUCACUUUUUAUUUUCAAGUCACUUCCCUCCAACCAUGUACGUUAAACCCAUUUCAAAAUAAACUUUGUCAAGAAAGCUUACCUACUUUCUAGACUCUAGAUCAAAGAUGU